GAGAAGCAAAUCAAAAUUGAAUUAAACACAAAAAGUGAAGACAUCAUAUUCUAUCAAUGUAUACUAGCUAACAAUCUUCCUUCUUCUCUUCAUACUGGUUUAAGUGCGGAACUUGAUGAUGUUUGAUGCUUUAAUGAGAUUGUUCAUGAUACCGUCUUUUUUGGGGGGAGGGGUUUUCAAGGUAAUUACUAGCUAACUCAGCGUAGUUUGAGCACUUGACACGUGGGAAACUCAAUGAGUUAAAAUUGCAGAUUGAUCUUAUGUGUGCUGAUUUUGAUGAUGAAAUUUUAGGUCUUCAAUCUCAAGGUCACAAACUCAUAGAUGUAAUUCAAGUUCACUUUUCA